rnacentral:rRNA from 1 species
UACGUAGGGUGCAAGCGUUGUCCGGAAUUAUUGGGCGUAAAGAGCUCGUAGGCGGUUAGUCGCGUCUGCUGUGAAAACUCGGGGCUUAACCCUGGGCCUGCAGUGGGUACGGGCUGACUAGAGUGCGGUAGGGGAGACUGGAAUUCCUGGUGUAGCGGUGAAAUGCGCAGAUAUCAGGAGGAACACCGGUGGCGAAGGCGGGUCUCUGGGCCGUAACUGACGCUGAGGAGCGAAAGCGUGGGGAGCGAACAGG